CGUUCUGUAAGCCUGUGAAGGUGUGCUGUGAGGCAUGCUGGAGGUAUCAGAAGUGCGAAUGCUGACAUAAGUAACGAUAAAGCGGGUGAAAAGCCCGCUCGCCGGAAGACCAAGGGUUCCUGUCCAACGUUAAUCGGGGCAGGGUGAGUCGACCCCUAAGGCGAGGCCGAAAGGCGUAGUCGAUGGGAAACAGGUUAAUAUUCCUGUACUUGGUGUUACUGCGAAGGGGGGACGGAGAAGGCUAUGUUGGCCGGGCGACGGUUGUCCCGGUUUAAGCGUGUAGGCUGGUUUUCCAGGCAAAUCCGGAAAAUCAAGGCUGAGGCGUGAUGACGAGGCACUACGGUGCUGAAGCAACAAAUGCCCUGCUUCCAGGAAAAGCCUCUAAGCAUCAGGUAACAUCAAAUCGUACCCCAAACCGACACAGGUGGUCAGGUAGAGAAUACCAAGGCGCUUGAGAGAACUCGGGUGAAGGAACUAGGCAAAAUGGUGCCGUAACUUCGGGAGAAGGCACGCUGAUAUGUAGGUGAGGUCCCUCGCGGAUGGAGCUGAAAUCAGUCGAAGAUACCAGCUGGCUGCAACUGUUUAUUAAAAACACAGCACUGUGCAAACACGAAAGUGGACGUAUACGGUGUGACGCCUGCCCGGUGCCGGAAGGUUAAUUGAUGGGGUUAGCGGUAACGCGAAGCUCUUGAUCGAAGCCCCGGUAAACGGCGGCCGUAACUAUAACGGUCCUAAGGUAGCGAAAUUCCUUGUCGGGUAAGUUCCGACCUGCACGAAUGGCGUAAUGAUGGCCAGGCUGUCUCCACCCGAGACUCAGUGAAAUUGAACUCGCUGUGAAGAUGCAGUGUACCCGCGGCAAGACGGAAAGACCCCGUGAACCUUUACUAUAGCUUGACACUGAACAUUGAGCCUUGAUGUGUAGGAUAGGUGGGAGGCUUUGAAGUGUGGACGCCAGUCUGCAUGGAGCCGACCUUGAAAUACCACCCUUUAAUGUUUGAUGUUCUAACGUUGACCCGUAAUCCGGGUUGCGGACAGUGUCUGGUGGGUAGUUUGACUGGGGCGGUCUCCUCCUAAAGAGUAACGGAGGAGCACGAAGGUUGGCUAAUCCUGGUCGGACAUCAGGAGGUUAGUGCAAUGGCAUAAGCCAGCUUGACUGCGAGCGUGACGGCGCGAGCAGGUGCGAAAGCAGGUCAUAGUGAUCCGGUGGUUCUGAAUGGAAGGGCCAUCGCUCAACGGAUAAAAGGUACUCCGGGGAUAACAGGCUGAUACCGCCCAAGAGUUCAUAUCGACGGCGGUGUUUGGCACCUCGAUGUCGGCUCAUCACAUCCUGGGGCUGAAGUAGGUCCCAAGGGUAUGGCUGUUCGCCAUUUAAAGUGGUACGCGAGCUGGGUUUAGAACGUCGUGAGACAGUUCGGUCCCUAUCUGCCGUGGGCGCUGGAGAACUGAGGGGGGCUGCUCCUAGUACGAGAGGACCGGAGUGGACGCAUCACUGGUGUUCGGGUUGUCAUGCCAAUGGCACUGCCCGGUAGCUAAAUGCGGAAGAGAUAAGUGCUGAAAGCAUCUAAGCACGAAACUUGCCCCGAGAUGAGUUCUCCCUGACCCUUUAAGGGUCCUGAAGGAACGUUGAAGACGACGACGUUGAUAGGCCGGGUGUGUAAGCGCAGCGAUGCGUUGAGCUAACCGGUACUAAUGAACCGUGAGG
rnacentral:rRNA from 1 species